rnacentral:rRNA from 1 species
UACGUAGGGCGCAAGCGUUGUCCGGAAUUAUUGGGCGUAAAGAGCGUGUAGGCGGUUGGGUAGGUCCGUUGUGAAAACUCGAGGCUCAACCUCGAGACGCCGAUGGAAACCCCCCAGCUAGAGUCCGGAAGAGGAGAGUGGAAUUCCUGGUGUAGCGGUGAAAUGCGCAGAUAUCAGGAAGAACACCCGUGGCUAAGGCGGCUCUCUAGUACGGUACUGACGCUGAGACGCGAAAGCGUGGGGAGCGAACAGG